rnacentral:rRNA from 2 species
GGGUUGUGAGGUUAAGCGACUAAGCGUACACGGUGGAUGCCCUGGCAGUCAGAGGCGAUGAAGGGCGUGCUAAUCUGCGAUAAGCGCCGGUAAGGUGAUAUGAACCGUUAUAACCGGCGAUACCCGAAUGGGGAAACCCAGUGUGAUUCGUCACACUAUCAUUAACUGAAUCCAUAGGUUAAUGAGGCGAACCGGGGGAACUGAAACAUCUAAGUACCCCGAGGAAAAGAAAUCAACCGAGAUUCCCCCAGUAGCGGCGAGCGAACGGGGAGGAGCCCAGAGCCUGAAUCAGCAUGUGUGUUAGUGGAAGCGUCUGGAAAGGCGCGCGAUACAGGGUGACAGCCCCGUACACAAAAGCGCAUGUGCUGUGAGCUCGAUGAGUAGGGCGGGACACGUGGUAUCCUGUCUGAAUAUGGGGGGACCAUCCUCCAAGGCUAAAUACUCCUGACUGACCGAUAGUGAACCAGUACCGUGAGGGAAAGGCGAAAAGAACCCCGGCGAGGGGAGUGAAAAAGAACCUGAAACCGUGUACGUACAAGCAGUGGGAGCACCCUUUUGGGUGUGACUGCGUACCUUUUGUAUAAUGGGUCAGCGACUUAUAUUCUGUAGCAAGGUUAACCGAAUAGGGGAGCCGGAGGGAAACCGAGUCUUAACCGGGCGUUAAGUUGCAGGGUAUAGACCCGAAACCCGGUGAUCUAGCCAUGGGCAGGUUGAAGGUUGGGUAACACUAACUGGAGGACCGAACCGACUAAUGUUGAAAAAUUAGCGGAUGACCUGUGGCUGGGGGUGAAAGGCCAAUCAAACCGGGAGAUAGCUGGUUCUCCCCGAAAGCUAUUUAGGUAGCGCCUCGUGAAUUCAUCUCCGGGGGUAGAGCACUGUUUCGGCUAGGGGGCCAUCCCGGCUUACCAACCCGAUGCAAACUGCGAAUACCGGAGAAUGUUAUCACGGGAGACACACGGCGGGUGCUAACGUCCGUCGUGAAGAGGGAAACAACCCAGACCGCCAGCUAAGGUCCCAAAGUCAUGGUUAAGUGGGAAACGAUGUGGGAAGGCCCAGACAGCCAGGAUGUUGGCUUAGAAGCAGCCAUCAUUUAAAGAAAGCGUAAUAGCUCACUGGUCGAGUCGGCCUGCGCGGAAGAUGUAACGGGGCUAAACCAUGCACCGAAGCUGCGGCAGCGAACGUAUCACUUAAAGCGAUUCAGCGGGUUACGAUUGACGGAGCGAAGCGACGUCAAAGCGUAUACAAAGUCGAGUCGGUUUAAGGAUACGUU